rnacentral:rRNA from 1 species
GACGAACGCUGGCGGCGUGCCUAAUACAUGCAAGUAGAACGCUGAAGAGAGGAGCUUGCUCUUCUUGGAUGAGUUGCGCACGGGUGAGUAACGCGUAGGUAACCUGCCUUGUAGCGGGGGAUAACUAUUGGAAACGAUAGCUAAUACCGCAUAACAAUGGAUGACACAUGUCAUUUAUUUGAAAGGGGCAAUUGUUCCACUACAAGAUGGACCUGCGUUGCAUUAGCUAGUAGGUGAGGUAAUGGCUCACCUAGGCGACGAUACAUAGCCGACCUGAGAGGGUGAUCGGCCACACUGGGACUGAGACACGGCCCAGACUCCUACGGGAGGCAGCAGUAGGGAAUCUUCGGCAAUGGGGGCAACCCUGACCGAGCAACGCCGCGUGAGUGAAGAAGGUUUUCGGAUCGUAAAGCUCUGUUGUAAGUCAAGAACGGGUGUGAGAGUGGAAAGUUCACACUGUGACGGUAGCUUACCAGAAAGGGACGGCUAACUACGUG